rnacentral:rRNA from 1 species
AGCUGGAGCUUGCUCCGGCCGAUUAGUGGCGAACGGGUGAGUAACACGUGAGCAAUCUGCCCUUGACUCUGGGAUAACUGCGGGAAACUGUAGCUAAUACCGGAUACUUUCCUCGCUGGGCAUCCAGCGGGGAAGAAAGAAUUUCGGUCAAGGAUGAGCUCGCGGCCUAUCAGCUAGUUGGUGAGGUAAAGGCUCACCAAGGCGACGACGGGUAGCCGGCCUGAGAGGGUGACCGGCCACACUGGAACUGAGACACGGUCCAGACUCCUACGGGAGGCAGCAGUGGGGAAUAUUGCACAAUGGGCGAAAGCCUGAUGCAGCAACGCCGCGUGAGGGAUGAAGGCCUUCGGGUUGUAAACCUCUUUUAGCAGGGAAGAAGCGAAAGUGACGGUACCUGCAGAAAAAGCACCGGCUAACUACGUGCCAGCAGCCGCGGUAAUACGUAGGGUGCAAGCGUUGUCCGGAAUUAUUGGGCGUAAAGAGCUCGUAGGCGGUUUGUCACGUCUGCUGUGAAAAUCCGAGGCUCAACCUCGGACCUGCAGUGGGUACGGGCAGGCUAGAGUGCGGUAGGGGAGAAGGGAAUUCCUGGUGUAGCGGUGGAAUGCGCAGAUAUCAGGAGGAACACCAAUGGCGAAGGCACUUCUCUGGGCCGUAACUGACGCUGAGGAGCGAAAGCGUGGGGAGCGAACAGGAUUAGAUACCCUGGUAGUCCACGCCGUAAACGGUGGGUGCU